CCUGAGUUGAGGUCUUUGAAUCAUAUUAAAGUCCUUAGAAGGUAUGACUUUUUAUGGGCUUGACAAAAGGGGGGGUUCGGUAUUAAGAAAAUAGCUCGAUGACUCAUGAACCCCGUAUAUCAAAAGGAUGCCCGAGGACACUAUCGAUCAUAUCACGAGGAUGCAAAUUGCCACCCCACGGGUGUAUUACCUCAAGGACUAUCUGACCCAAUAUGAAUUGAGCAAGACCCUGUAAGUCCUUGGGAGAAUCACCUCAGGAGGUUGCCAAAAGUGACUACAUCACUGGCCCCCGUGCUUCCAUGUCAGAAGCUUGUGCGAUAUACAAGUUUCUAGGAUGAGAUGCACAACCAUGUCGGGUGAUGGGUAUGCUCAUGCCAAGAGAUAGGCGAGCUCAUGCCAAGAUAAGGGCAUGCUCAUGCCUAGAGGUUGGCAAGCUCAUGCCAAGAUAUAGGCGUGCCAAAGCCUAGAGGUUGGGGAGCUCAUGCUAAGAAGUGGUCAUGCUCAUGCCUAAAAGUUGGCAUGCUGAUGUUAAGGAUUAAGCAUGAUCAUGCUAAAGAGUUGGCGAGCUUAUGCCUAGGUAUAGGUGUGCCAAAGCCUAGAGGUUGGGGAGUUCAUGCCAAGAAGUUAGCAUGUUGAUGCCAAGGAUUAGGCAGGAUCAUGCUAAAGAGUUGGUGAGCUCAUGCCAAGGAAUGGUCAUGCUCAUGCCUAGAGGUUGGCAUGUUG
rnacentral:lncRNA from 1 species